rnacentral:rRNA from 1 species
AAUAGAUACCCGGGUAGUCCACGCCGUAAACGAUGAAUACUAGGUGUAGGGGUUGUCAUGACCUCUGUGCCGCCGCUAACGCAUUAAGUAUUCCGCCUGGGGAGUACGGUCGCAAGAUUAAAACUCAAAGGAAUUGACGGGGGCCCGCACAAGCAGCGGAGCAUGUGGUUUAAUUCGAAGCAACGCGAAGAACCUUACCUAGACUUGACAUCUCCUGCAUUACCCUUAAUCGGGGAAGUUCCUUCGGGAACAGGAAGACAGGUGGUGCAUGGUUGUCGUCAGCUCGUGUCGUGAGAUGUUGGGUUAAGUCCCGCAACGAGCGCAACCCUUAUUGUUAGUUACUACCAUUUAGUUGAGCACUCUAGCGAGACUGCCCGGGUUAACCGGGAGGAAGGUGGGGAUGACGUCAAAUCAUCAUGCCCCUUAUGUCUAGGGCUACACACGUGCUACAAUGGCAAGUACAAAGAGAAGCAAGACCGUGAGGUGGAGCAAAACUCAAAAACUUGUCUCAGUUCGGAUUGUAGGCUGAAACUCGCCUACAUGAAGGUUG